rnacentral:rRNA from 1 species
GGGUUGUGAGGUUAAGCGACUAAGCGUACACGGUGGAUGCCCUGGCAGUCAGAGGCGAUGAAGGGCGUGCUAAUCUGCGAUAAGCGCCGGUAAGGUGAUAUGAACCGUUAUAACCGGCGAUACCCGAAUGGGGAAACCCAGUGUGACUCGUCACACUAUCAUUAACUGAAUCCAUAGGUUAAUGAGGCGAACCGGGGGAACUGAAACAUCUAAGUACCCCGAGGAAAAGAAAUCAACCGAGAUUCCCCCAGUAGCGGCGAGCGAACGGGGAGGAGCCCAGAGCCUGAAUCAGCAUGUGUGUUAGUGGAAGCGUCUGGAAAGGCGCGCGAUACAGGGUGACAGCCCCGUACACAAAAGCGCAUGUGCUGUGAGCUCGAUGAGUAGGGCGGGACACGUGGUAUCCUGUCUGAAUAUGGGGGGACCAUCCUCCAAGGCUAAAUACUCCUGACUGACCGAUAGUGAACCAGUACCGUGAGGGAAAGGCGAAAAGAACCCCGGCGAGGGGAGUGAAAAAGAACCUGAAACCGUGUACGUACAAGCAGUGGGAGCCCCACCACUAAGCCAGUGGUGAACUCCACAUACGCAUCCUUUGCUGAGGAUACGGUUAACGGAGCGAAAGCGACGUUCAACCGCAAAAGAAGCAGAGGGGGCUUAGUGGUGGGGUGACUGCGUACCUUUUGUAUAAUGGGUCA